UUUUGUUUUGAAGGCAAACGAUGGCGGAAGUAGAGCACAAGUUGACGCGAGCUUGACACUCCUGUCUGCGUAUCUAAAAUCGAUGAGCGAUUGGCUGUCUUCUCGCUCAAGAUUCUGAGGGUCUAUUAACGGGAAAGGGCUCCAUCAUGGCCUUGAAAAGAAGAAGAGCGACAUCCCCCUCGAGCAGUGUUAGCGGAGGAGAUUUUGACGAUAGCCAGCCUUCAUCCUUGGUGUCUUCAAGUGGGCGAAAGAGGAGAAGGACCUCAAAUAUUCCAACCGUGGAUCCUAUUGCUGUGUGCCAUGAACUUUACAACACAGUCAGAGACUACAAGGAUGACCAAGGCAGGAUGCUGUGCGAGCUGUUCAUCAGAGCCCCGAAACGAAGAAACCAGCCAGACUACUACCACGUGGUGUCUCAGCCUAUCGACAUGAUGAAAAUACAGCAGAAAUUAAAGAUGGAGGAAUAUGAUGACGUCGAACAGCUCACCAGUGACUUUCAGCUACUGUUUCAUAACGCCAAAACAUAUUAUAAGGCCGACAGCGCUGAGUUCCGUGCAGCCUGCAAACUGUGGGACCUUUACCAACGUACCAAGAAUGAGUUUGUUCAGCCAGGCGACGAUGACGAGGAAGAUGAGGCCGGCUACGACGCGCAAGACAUCCCCAGCGCGUCCACUGAGGAUGAGAGUGCACCGAUCUGCUUGCGAGAUGUCCUCGAGCAUCUCCUCGAUGCUGUGGUGACAUAUACCGAGCCCUCGGGGCGCCUGGUCAGCGAUCUCUUUCAGAGGUUGCCCUCCAAAGCGCAAUAUCCAGAUUAUUAUGCAAUCAUCAAGGAGCCCAUAGAUUUGAAACUCGUCGCUCAAAAGAUUCAGAUGGGGCACUACAGGAGCGUUACUGCCAUGGCUAAAGAUAUUGAUUUAUUGGUCAGAAAUGCUAAAAUUUACAAUGAGACUGGAUCACAGGUCUUUAAGGAUGCAAAUACCAUUAAAAAGAUUUUCGCACAAAAGAAGUCAGAGAUUGAACAUGGGGAACCAAUCAAGUCCAGCAUUCGUAUCAGGAAUCGACGGUGCGCUCAGGGUGAGCGCCUCUCCGCGGUUAGCAUGGCUCUUCAGUGUGAAAGUGACGACGAUGGAAUACUUUCUGGGUCCGUUCACUAUGACGAGGGGGAGUCUGAGGCCGAGAGUUUGACCACUAACAUCGACAUGAGCAACCCCAUUUUCCAGCUGUAUGAAGCCGUCCGCGGUGCCAGAAACAAUCAGGGGCUCCUGAUUUCGGAACCUUUCCUGGAGCUACCAUCUAGGAAAGACUACCCAGACUACUACCAGCAGAUCACUCAGCCUUUAUGCCUGCAUCAGAUCAAGAACAAGAUGAAGAACAACGAGUAUGACAGUGUUGAGCUUAUAGACUCUGAUCUAACGCUAAUGUUUGAGAACUCCAAGCGUUACAAUCUUCCACAUUCCUCCAUUUACAAGCGUGCGCUUAAAUUGCAGCACAUUCAGCAGAUAAAGCGAAAAGAGCUUUUACAGAGAGAUGAUGACGAUGGAGACAGCAUGCUGUCCUGUGCCACCUCUGACACCAGUAGCACGAAGAGAAAAAGCCACAAGAAGAAUACAAAGAAAAAUCGAAUGAAAGCUCUUUUUGCUUCGGUGACCGAGGCACGGGAGGCGAGCACUAGUAGGCGACUUUGUGACCUCUUUAUGGUUAAGCCCUCCAAGAAGGACUACCCCGAUUACUACAAGGUCAUCCUGGAGCCCAUGGACUUGAAGACGAUCGAGCACAAUAUCCGGUCGGACAAGUACCUCAGUGAAGAUGCAAUGGUAGAGGAUAUGAAGCUGAUGUUCCGCAAUGCUCGACACUACAAUGAAGAAGGCUCACAGGUCUUCAAUGAUGCUGAUGUUCUGGAGAAAAUAAUGACAGACAGAUUCAAGGAUCUUGGACCAGCGACAGAUGAGGAUGACAUAGUGUCCUCAAAGAUGAAAAUAAGAAAGACAAAUAUGACACUGAAGAAGUCAAAGUAUCUUACACCCUUACAACAGAAACUGAAUGAAUUGUAUGAGUCCGUCAAGAACUACACAGAUAGACGUGGCCGUCGCCUCAGCACGAUUUUCCUGCGCCUUCCGUCCCGUUCUGAGCUGCCCGAUUACUACAUGGCGAUCAAGAAACCCGUGGACAUGGAGAAGAUCAAGAGCCACAUGUUAGCCAAUAAAUAUCAGGAUGUAGAUGCACUGGUGGAGGACUUGGUGCUCAUGUUCAACAACGCAUGUACGUACAAUGAGCCUGAGUCACUGAUUUACCGGGAUGCUCUAGUCUUACACCGUGUGCUUCUGGAGACGAGGCACGGCCUGGAGGGAGGGGAAGACGCCUACGUGCCAGAUGUGCCUCGCCUCAUCCAGGAGCUCAUCCGCAGCCUCGUUGUGUCUGUGCUCGGCCACCAAGAUGAUGAGGGACGUUGCUACAGCGAUUCUCUGGCCGAAAUCCCUGCCACCGACCCUGCGAACCCAGAAAAGCCCCCUCUCAAUUUUGAGAUCAUCAGAAAGAAUGUUGAAGGAGGUCGCUAUAUGAGGCUGGAUGUAUUUCAGGACCAUAUGUUUGAAGUUUUGGAAAAGGCCCGACAUCUAAAUAGGACAGAUUCUGAAAUAUUUGAAGAUGCUGUGGAGCUUCAACAAUUCUUCAUCAGGAUCCGGGAUGAGCUGUGUAAGAAUGGAGAGAUUUUGAUGUCUCCCGCACUGAGCUAUACGCCCAAACAUCUGCAUAAUGAUGUGGAUAAAGAAAAGAAACAAAAGCUCCCAAAAGAGAUUGAGGAGGACAAAGUCAAGAGAGAAGAGGAGAAAAUGGAAGCUGAAAAACGAGAGGACUCUGUCGGAGGCUCCUGGCAGCUGAGCUCACAGCGCACAUACAGUCAAGACUGCAGCUUCAAGAACAGCAUGUACUGUGUUGGAGACUACGUUUAUGUGGAGCCUGCAGAGCCAAAUCUGCAGCCUCACAUCAUCUACAUCGAACGCCUGUGGCAAGACGACACCGGUGAGAAAUGGCUGUAUGGAUGCUGGUUCUACAGGCCAAAUGAAACAUUCCAUGUCGCGACACGAAAGUUUUUGGAGAAGGAAGUAUUUAAGAGCGACUACUACAACAAAGCACCUAUCAGCAAGAUUUUAGGCAAAUGUGUGGUCAUGUUUGUGAAGGACUACUUCAAGCUUUUCCCAGAAGGGUUCAGGGCAGAGGACGUCCAUGUCUGUGAGUCACGCUACUCUGCCAAAUCCAAGUCUUUCAAGAAGAUCAAGUUGUGGACCAUGCCCUUGAGCUCAGUUCGCUUUGUCCCGAGAGAAGUGCCUCUGCCUGUUGUACGGGUGGCAUCGAUAUUUGCUACCAAAGAAGAGAAAGGAGAGCGAGAAGAGAAACCACCAGAAAUUACAGAUGACACCAAAGUGAUAGAAUGUAGCACCAUAUUCAAGGAGAGGGAAGAUGUUCCUUUGGAGAUGACCAACGGGGAAGCAGGAUGCAAAUACUAUGAACAGCUUUGCUACAACAACCUAUGGCUGAAAGUUGGAGACUGCGUCUAUAUCGGCUCUCAUGGGCUAGUGCGCCACCGCGUGGGCAGGAUUGAAAAGAUGUGGAUGCGAGAUGGAGCCGGGUACUUUUUUGGCCCAAUCUUCAUCCAUCCAGAGGAAACGGAACAUGAACCCACUAAAAUGUUCUACAAGAAGGAAGUUUUUCUCAGCAACCUUGAAGAGGCUUGUCCCAUGACUUGCAUCAUAGGGAAGUGUGUGGUGUCAUCCUUCAAAGAGUACCUAUCUUGUCGGCCAACUGAAGUGCCCGAAGAGAAUGUCUUGCUCUGUGAGAGUCGUUAUAUCGAAAGUGAGAAGCAAAUGAAGCGGUUCAAAGGACUCAAACGCUUUUCAUCAUCCGGAAAGGUGGUGGAGGAUGAAAUCUACUAUUUUAGAAAACUUAUAAGUCCCCAAAAGGAGCCGUCACCUUUGCUAGACAGGAAAAUCGAGGAACUGGAGGCCAAGUUUGCUGAUAUGACAGAUGAGGAGCUGGAGGAGCUCGGGGAUGAUGACAGUGAGCUCGAUCAUUCCCUUCGGCAGAUGCAUUCUUCUAUGUGUGGUGACAUGGAUAUAAUGACUUACACUCCCCCACAGUCAACCAAAUCUUUAAAGGGUCUUUCCAAGAAGGAGGGGUCAAAACGCAAGAUCAACAUGAGUGGAUACAUCUUGUUCAGCAGCGAGAUGAGGGCUGUCAUUAAAGCUCGGCACCCGGAUUUCUCAUUUGGAGAGCUGAGCCGCCUCGUUGGCACAGAGUGGAGGAACCUGGAAAGUUCUAGGAAAGCAGAAUAUGAAGAGCGAGCAGCUAAAGUGGCCGAGCAGCAGGAGCGUGACAGGACCCUCUUCGUGACAUCCCCACGAGCAGGUACCCCAGUAGGGGCACUGAUAGGGGUGGUGCCUGCUCCAACCCCCAUGGGCAUGCUAAAUUCCAGCUUGACGCCUGUGUCAGGUAACCCCUCAGUGUUGCAGAUGGAUUCUCAGCGUACACAGGGCUGGAAUAACAAGGUUCCCUGCUUGAUUUACUCAUGUCUCAUGACAUUAGCAUGUUUGUGUUAUAUGUUGCCUCAUUUACAAAACACUGGUCAAGCUCCAGCCUUGAAUGGAGAAAAACACACUCCAUACUUCAUUUGUUGCUAAACUUAUCUUAAAGCCAUGUAACUGAGUCAGCUUUAUUUGAUUUCUCUCUCUCUCUGUGUGUGUGUGUGUGUGUGUGUGUGUACACACACACACAAACAGUGUUCCCUUGUUUAACGCGGAGGUUAUGUUCUAAAAAUACCCACGUUUAAAUGAAAUCCAUGUAGCACAUUUACUUUCCCGUAAGACCACUUUUAAGAACAACCUUUUGCAAACUUACAAUGAAAAUUUCAACAAACUUAUUUUCUUUAAAGUACACAAAAAAUACAUAGCUAAUCAAACCAACCCAACAAUGAACUAUAAAUUUAAAGGCUGCUUCCAACUUUAUUUUUUAAAAUUGACAAUUUUUCUUGGUGUAAAACUGAAUGAUUGCUUGCACAAUAUAAUUUGCAAUGCAUGCUGACAGCUGAAUGAUGCUCCCAAACAGUUUUGAAGUUAACAUUAUUUGCUUUUUGUGCACUGUAUUGUCUGUGCUUUCAUCCUUGAUGAGGCGGCACCAAGGUGGAAUUUUAGCAUCACACUCAGUCUCAAGCUGCACUUUCUACUUUGGCUUUGCAAUGCAUUUUUCACACCAGAGGGUUCUCGCUCGAAAAAGAGAAAAUCUUGUCCAGUUUCACCGCUUUUUCUUCUAUUUGCACAUUGCACCUUAAAAUAACAGCAUUUCUUUUUUUUUUACUUUUGCUAUUAUUAUUCUCAUCAUCGAGAGUAAACAUAGGCAGCGUGUUUACCUUGUCUUCCCUCUAAGUUGCCCAGACCGCGUUGCUAACUAAAGCUCCGGUGGUUGGUGCAUAAGGAUUAAUGGAUCAUUAAUGGGCUGCGUAAGUACUGAUCUGUAAUUAUGACUGUACCCUUUUACGAGGGAGGGGGCCGGCGUAAAGUAAACUAGGCGGGAGAGAGGUCCUUGCGUGCUACCAAUGUGCUCAAUAAACAGCGACUGAAUGUAGCAAUGAAUCAUGCCUCACUCAUUGAAUAACAUUGCGAAAUGGCACAAACUGAAUAGUUUCAAUUCGGGUUGGAUUUUUUUUUGUGUGUGCAACGCAGAACGUCCAGAGACCACAUCAACAGUAACACCUUAGAGGGAACGUUGCUGAGAUGUAAUGCAUGCUUUUAGUGUUGCAUGAUUAACUGAUGCAUGUUGCUGUGUUUUGUGUUGCUGCUCUUCAUUCUUAAGAAGGUCUGAUGGGUGCAUGUAGGUCAGCUAUAAUCCCCCAAGGAACGGUUAGUUUGACUGGCGAACCACCACAUCACAUGGGGGAGCUUUUAUACCCUCAGCGUUCUUUGCUCGCUAUGCCUGGGUUCCUUGGAAUGCCGUAUUUUGGUAAGAGUGCCAUCAUUGCCAUCCUGCCUGCCACACAGUUGCGUCCUUGUUUGCCAUCCCAAUUUGCUGGAGGGGCUACCUGUACCAAAAGGCUAUGGCCCUUAUUUGAAGACGACUGACUGAUUACAGCAUAUGCCAAUUUUUUAAAAAGCAGAACAUGCUUUGUUUACCGCAAUCUUUAUACUGUACAAGCAAAUUAACAAGUCAGCGUUAGAUUUGUUAUAAUGGACGUUUCCACGUUUUUAAUGUUGCCAAAGAUGACAUGAGCUGAAUUCCAGUAAUGGGUUCUGUGAGUUGUUGUCUUUGUAUUGAAUACCUCAGGUAUCAGCUGUAUGGGUGGUGAAACUGGGACAGCAAACAUUCAUGGAUCCCAGGUAAAGAUUUACCAGUCGCUCUUAAUGUAGUAUUUUACUUUCACACCAUACUUCAAUUUUGCUUAAAUUUUUUAUUUCAGACAUGUUGGUCUAAUGUAACAACAAACAAAUCAAAGUAGUAAAAUAAUACCAAAAUGAACAAAAUAAAAAUACAAAUUUUAUAUCUUUACCCAUUCGUGGGCAGCAUCCCAGUUUUGGGACAUCAUGAUUUUCACGCAUUAUAUCCUUUAUUAUAUCAAAAUAUUUAAGUAUUUUAAUCUGAAGCCAUAAUUUGUUAUCACGAGAGGAUAACUCAUCGGUCAAAGUUAGCACGGAGUUAUUUCCCUUUCCUUUCUGACCCAACAUGGCUGCCUCGAGUACACAUGGAGCGUUUUCCAAGAGAAGAAAGGAAGAAAGAUGGGUUUAAUGGGUCCCAGUCAACAGGCUCCCCCACCAUACCCAGGACAAGGCCAGGCCGCCCUUCAGCAGCCCUCCACCCCAUUGUUUGUGUCCCCU